UUAUUAUAGAGAAGACGCCCAAUAAACUGGAAUGAUAUAGAGAAGAUUACCAUGUCUCAUGCAUAAGAUGACAUGCAUAAAUAGAGAAAUAUCCAAUUAUU